GGGGUUACACCCGAUCCCAUCCCGAACUCGGUAGUUAAGACCUCCAGGGCCGAUGGUACUGCACGGGAUUCUGUGUGGGAGAGUAGGUCGCUGCCAGGA
rnacentral:rRNA from 1 species